UAGACAGAUAGAAAGAAAGAAAGAAAGAAAGAAAGAAAGAAAGAAAGAAAAAAAGAAAGAAAGAAAAAGAGAGGGAGUGGAGAACGUUGAACGCGGAUGUCGUCGGUCGCACCUAGCAACACCGAUUUCAACUGGUGACCAGCCCUCGUGGCCAGGACUCGUAACACUUGGGCGCGAUAUUUCACACUAUCCGGCGAAGACGAGCCGAAGACUGACGGGCGACACCUCUCAGUUUCUCCCGGACGACCUUUCCUUCUCUAUCUCUUGGCGGUGGCCGGCUCCUAAAAGAAACGGCACCAUCCUCCCUGGCUGACCAACUCCGUUACGGUGCUCCUCGGGUGCUAAUUAAGAGCCAGGAAUUAGAAAGAGCUUGGCCUCUCUCUCUUUCUCUCUUACCCCGUCUCCCUUUUCUCUCUCUUCUUCAUCAUGGUACUGCCGCAAACAUGGCAGCCAUUCAAGGACGCUAUUUGUCACCGCCUCUAAUCCUACUCGCAAGCCAACCGACGUUCGACUUCACUUUACGAUCCCAUCAUGGUUGGCUGAUUCAUCGUGUAGUAGACGGAGAGUUUGUCAGUCCGCCCAUCAACUUGACCGAUCGCCAGCUCCUCCUGAAGUUUCUUCGUCAACGGCAGACGAUGUGUGACCCCCUCGUGUGACCUCGCUUCCGGACUUCGCGAUAUCAACUCGUGAACGAGCUACGAGAUUUCAACCGAUCGUUUUACUUCGUCACACUUCUUAAUUCGUUCUAUCGGUGGUUCUCUUGGACUUUUUCGAGUGUUGCUCAAGAAAUAUCCUUUUUGUUUGCUUUCUUCAGAAAUAUAUAUGUGAAGGAUUUUAAAGCAAAAUACAGUGUGAUGUUCCAAGUUCGGUGACAUAACGAUUUUAUAGAAAGUGUUCACCAUUAUAGUACGUAUCCACACACGUUUAUAUAUUCAUUGAUUUCUUUAGGGUAUAUCUCUUGGGUUGUGAAUUAAGAUAAAAAACAAAUCGAUCAUUGGUCUUCCAUUUCGAAAAGUACAUAUGUCGUUGUUAGCUCGUUCUUCGUUUUUGAUGCUGAGGAGUCAGCAAGGUAAGCACCAAAGGUGGAAUCUUCGGAGUCGUACUUUUUCAUCUCAAAUGACUAAAGUCAACAUAGACUCAGUCUCACGGUACGAACUGUACAAUCUUUUAUUAGCUAGGAACAUUUGACCAGGACCGUUUUUUGUUUGUUGUAUCAUGCCAUGAUUUCGGCUAG